GGAAUAUUGCACAAUGGGGGAAACCCUGAUGCAGCGACGCCGCGUGGAGGAUGAAGGUCUUCGGGUUGUAAACUCCUUUUAUUGGGAAAGAUUAUGACGGUACCCAAUGAAUAAGCCACGGCUAACUCUGUGCCAGCAGCCGCGGUAAGACAGAGGUGGCGAGCGUUGUUCGGAAUUACUGGGCUUAAAGGGCGAGUAGGCGGUGGGACAAGUCUGAUGUGGAAUCUUAGGGCUUAACUCUAAAACUGCAUUAGAAACUGUUUUACUUGAGUCAGUGAGGGGAGGGCGGAAUUCCCGGUGUAGCGGUGAAAUGCGUAGAUAUCGGGAGGAAGGCCGGUGGCGAAGGCGGCCCUCUGGCACUGUACUGACGCUGAGGCGCGAAAGCGUGGGGAGCAAACAGGAUUAGA
rnacentral:rRNA from 1 species